rnacentral:rRNA from 1 species
CCUACGGGUGGCAGCAGUGGGGAAUAUUGGGCAAUGGGCGCAAGCCUGACCCAGCAACGCCGCGUGAAGGAAGAAGGCCCUCGGGUUGUAAACUUCUUUUAUCAAGGACGAAACAAAUGACGGUACAUGAUGAAUAAGCCACGGCUAACUACGGGGCAGCCGCCGCGGUAAUACGUAGGUGGCAAGCGUUAUACGGAUUUACUGGGUGUAAAGGGCGGGUAGGCGGGACUGCAAGUCAGAUGUGAAACCCAUGGGCUCAACCCGUGGCCUGCCUUUGAAACUGUAGUUCUUGAGUGUUGGAGAGGCAAGCGGAAUUCCGUGUGUAGCGGUGAAAUGCGGAGAUAUACGGAGGAACACCAGUGGCGAAGGCGACCUGCUGGACAAUAACUGACGCUGAGGCGCGAAAGCGUGGGGAGCAAACAGGAUUAGAUACCCGGGUAGUC